AUUGAACGCUGGCGGCAUGCCUUACACAUGCAAGUCGAACGGCAGCACGGGAGCAAUCCUGGUGGCGAGUGGCGAACGGGUGAGUAAUAUAUCGGAACGUGCCCAGUCGUGGGGGAUAACGUAGCGAAAGCUACGCUAAUACCGCAUACUAUCUAUGGAUGAAAGCGGGGGAUCGCAAGACCUCGCGCGAUUGGAGCGGCCGAUAUCAGAUUAGGUAGUUGGUGAGGUAAAGGCUCACCAAGCCGACGAUCUGUAGCUGGUCUGAGAGGACGACCAGCCACACUGGGACUGAGACACGGCCCAGACUCCUACGGGAGGCAGCAGUGGGGAAUUUUGGACAAUGGGCGCAAGCCUGAUCCAGCAAUGCCGCGUGCAGGAUGAA
rnacentral:rRNA from 1 species